rnacentral:hammerhead_ribozyme from 1 species
AUUUAGCUGACGAGUUCCAAAAAGAACGAAAUGCGUGUUCUAGAU